rnacentral:rRNA from 1 species
GCACAAGCGGUGGCAGCAUGUGAGGUAAUUAGAAGCAACGCGAGAGAACCUUGCCAGGUCUUGACAUUCCUUUGACCACUGUAGAGAUAUGGUUUCCCCUUCGGGGGCAACGGUGACAGGUGGUGCAUUGUUGUCGUCAGCUCGUGUCGUGAGAUGUUGGGUUAAGUCCCGCAACGAGCGCAACCCUUGAUCUUAGUUGCCAUCAUUUAGUUGGGCACUCUAAGGUGACUUCCGGUGACAAACCGGAGGAAGGUGUCAGAUGACGUCAAAUCAUCAUGCCCCUUAUGACGUGGGCUACACACGUGCUACAAUGGACGAUACAAACGGUUGCCAACUCGCGAGAGGGAGCUAAUUCGAUAAAGUCCAUCUCAAUUCGUAUUGUAGUAUGCAACUCGCAUACAUGACGCCGGAAUCGGUAGUAAUCGCGGAUCACCAGACCACUGUCAAUACGUUACCUGGCCUUGUCCACACCGCCUCGUCACACCACGAGAGUUUGUCACACCACGAAGUCUGGUGAGGUAACCUUUGGAGCCACCGCCGAAGUGGGAUAGAUGAUUGG